UCUAUUUUUCUACGGGAACUUCUC
rnacentral:miRNA from 1 species